GUCCAUCCGAGUUUGAUGGUAACUUCGUUAUUUUUGCAACUAAGAUUCGCGAUGGCAUAGGAAUAUUUCUAGGGAAUAUAUAGGGGUAAUAUGGGACAUUUUCCCUUCCAUUGGAUAUAUUGAUCAAAUUAAACCUGUCUAAUUUUGCGCCCGAAUUUAUUGUGAAUAGAACCGUCUGAUUUGGUUUCUGAUGUAUGAAGCGCGUCCUCUUUGCUCCGGCCUCCAUCCGUCCCGGCCAAUCCAUCCCCCAUCGAAUGGACUCCCCGCGGCGUCCCCUCCUCCGUCAUCGACGAGCACCUCGAGAACGUCUUCCGGCGUGGGUGAGUGUCUCAUGUUUUCCAUUACUACCGUUGCUUCUCCUGUGUUGCACACCAACUGCUUGCUCUUUUGUCUGAACAACCUUGAUGUUAACCUUAGGGUGUAGCUGCUUGUGUUGGCUCAACUUAGCAAUCGGUCAUUCUCCUAGAAAGGACUUCCGAUUUACCAAGCUAGAUAUUUUUUCUGCACAGUGGGUGCUUGUUGUUGUGCCUCCUGCCAUAAUUACCUCUUGUCUUGAUGCUUCAAACUACACCAUCAUUGCCACCAUAAACUCCUAUUGCACCUUCUCACACAAUUCUUAGGAUUUAUUGGAUGCCUAUUUCCCUGGCACUAUGAACUCCUAUUGCACCGACUGUAGAUGUUGCUCUUGUUAAUUUGGUGUUCGAGGACACAACUUUAUGCCGUGGUUCUUUUGAUGGUUGGUGAGCCAACUUUUGUGUUAGCUGCUCAUAGUGCUUGACCAGUGAGACACCGCCCGUGCUCUACUUGUGCUUCUUUUGCGAUCGUUCGCAAGAACAAAUGCAAGCAAUGCGUUUUAUGCAUCAUAAUGGAAGAAAAAUGUUGGCUCAACAUCUACAGUCCUGCUACUCCCUCUUACCUAUCAACAAGCCAGCAGUUUAGCUGCAUUUUCCUACCUCUUCAUGUCUCUAUAUCUCUCUCCACUGUCAGGUCCUCAACAACAUAUUUGCUGCUUUGUCUUACAUCUUCUCUUGAUUCUUGCUCGCAGUGCUUUGGCUGUAGAAUUUUGCAUGCAGGACAUUGAUAAGUGACUUAAUUUUAGUUCUUAUUUUACUUUGUUGGUUUUCUUCUCACCAGUCUUGUGUUUUAGGUGUUGUCUUUGUUCUGCAUUUACUCUCAAUAUGGCUACUUUGUUAUAUGUUUCAUUAAUGCAUGUUCUCAAUCAUGUGAAGAACAUAAAUGCAACUUGUUCCUAGAAGAAUUCGUCUGGUUUAUGAAUAUUGGAUGGUAAAGACUGGUCCAUGAGUGUAAAUAGCGGAGUUAAUACUAUGGUUUCAACUCCGGUAAUCGAAUUCCUCGUUCAUUGAGUUACUUCUUUUUCUCGUCCAAAUUUGUCCUUAGAUCAUCCUUACAAAUAUUUUGUAUGUUUGUAAGUCUCGAUACUGAUUCCAUCAACAUAAUAUAAGAGCAUAGACUUCCUUACAAGAGCCAAACUCCCCCAGCAAGGAAGAGGACCAACUUAAAGACAGAAGAAUCAUCAUAGGUAGAAAUCGGAG
rnacentral:lncRNA from 1 species